rnacentral:rRNA from 1 species
UUUCGCUAAGAGAUCGGUCUAUAUCCCAUCAGCUUGUUGGUAGUGUAAGAGACUACCAAGGCAAUGACAGGUAGCGGGUUUGAGAGGAUGAUCCGCCACACUGGUACUGAGACACGGACCAGACUCCUACGGGAGGCAGCAGUGAGGAAUAUUGCACAAUGGGGGAAACCCUGAUGCAGCAACGCCGCGUGGAGGAUGACGCAUUUCGGUGUGUAAACUCCUUUUAUAUGUCAAGAAAAUGACGGUAGCAUAUGAAUAAGCACCGGCUAACUCCGUGCCAGCAGCCGCGGUAAUACGGAGGGUGCAAGCGUUAUUCGGAAUCACUGGGCGUAAAGGACGCGUAGGCGGGUUUGUAAGUCAGGUGUGAAAUCCUACAGCUUAACUGUAGAACUGCACUUGAAACUACUGACCUAGAGUAUGGGAGGGGGAGAUGGAAUUAGUGGU